CCAACGGCCCUCUUUAGGGCCAAUAAUAUUUUUUUUUUCAAUAUA
rfam:Parastrongyloides trichosuri strain KNP genome assembly, scaffold: PTRK_scaffold0000018